GACGAACGCUGGCGGCGUGCUUAACACAUGCAAGUCGAACGGAAAGGCCCUGCUUUUGUGGGGUGCUCGAGUGGCGAACGGGUGAGUAACACGUGAGUAACCUGCCCUUGACUUUGGGAUAACUUCAGGAAACUGGGGCUAAUACCCGAUAGGAGCUCCUGCUGCAUGGGGGGGGUUGGAAAGUUUCGGCGGUGGGGGAUGGACUCGCGGCUUAUCAGCUUGUUGGUGGGGUAGUGGCUUACCAAGGCUUUGACGGGUAGCCGGCCUGAGAGGGUGACCGGCCACAUUGGGCCUGAGAUAGGGCCCAGACUGCUACGGGAGGCAGCAGUGGGGAAUAUUGCACAAUGGGGGGACGCCUGAUGCAGCAACGCCGCGUGCGGGAUGACGGCCUUCGGGUUGUAAACCGCUUUCGCCUGUGCCGAAGCGUGAGUGACGGUAAUGGGUAAAGAAGCACCGGCUAACUACGUG
rnacentral:rRNA from 1 species